rnacentral:rRNA from 1 species
AGGACGAACGCUGGCGGCGUGCUUAACACAUGCAAGUCGAACGGAUCACUUUCGGGUGGUUAGUGGCGAACGGGUGAGUAACACGUGGGUAACCUGCCCCUCACUCUGGGAUAACUCCGGGAAACCGGGGCUAAUACUGGAUAUGACCUCAUGCUGCAUGGUGUGGGGUGGAAAGUUUUUCGGUGGGGGAUGGGCCCGCGGCCUAUCAGCCUGUUGGUGGGGUGAUGGCCUACAAGGCGUCGACGGGUAG